rnacentral:rRNA from 1 species
CCUACGGGAGGCAGCAGUGGGGAAUAUUCCGCAAUGGGCGAAAGCCUGACGGAGCAACGCCGCGUGAGGGAAGAAGGCCUUCGGGUUGUAAACCUCUGUUGUAUGGGAAGAAGGAUUGACGGUACCAUACGAGGAAGCCCCGGCUAACUACGUGCCAGCAGCCGCGGUAAUACGUAGGGGGCUAGCGUUAUCCGGAAUUACUGGGCGUAAAGGGUGCGUAGGCGGCCCUUCAAGUCAGAGGUGAAAGGCUACGGCUCAACCGUAGUAAGCCUUUGAAACUGUAGGGCUUGAGUGCAGGAGAGGAGAGUGGAAUUCCCAGUGUAGCGGUGAAAUGCGUAGAUAUUGGGAGGAACACCAGUUGCGAAGGCGGCUCUCUGGACUGUAACUGACGCUGAGGCACGAAAGCGUGGGGAGCGAACAGGAUUAGAUACCCUGGUAGUC